UACGUAGGGUGCGAGCGUUAAUCGGAAUUACGGGGCGUAAAGCGUGCGCAGGCGGUGAUGUAAGACAGAUGUGAAAUCCCCGGGCUCAACCUGGGAACUGCAUUUGUGACUGCAUCGCUGGAGUGCGGCAGAGGGGGAUGGAAUUCCGCGUGUAGCAGUGAAAUGCGUAGAUAUGCGGAGGAACACCGAUGGCGAAGGCAAUCCCCUGGGCCUGCACUGACGCUCAUGCACGAAAGCGUGGGUAGCAAACAGG
rnacentral:rRNA from 1 species